AGGGAAUAUUGCGCAAUGGGCGAAAGCCUGACGCAGCGACACCGGGUGUAGGAUGAAAAUCUUCGGAUUGUAAACUACUGUCAGUUGAAGACGAAGGCAGUAGAGUUAAGAGCUCGAAUGUUGACGGUAUUCAAUUAGGAAGUCUCGGCUAACUCCGUGCCAGCAGCCGCGGUAAGACGGAGGAGGCUAGCAUUGUCCGGAAUUAUUGGGCGUAAAGAACACGUAGGCGGUUUGUCAAGUCAUUUGUGAAAACCUUAGGCUUAACUUAAGGAUUGCAGAUGAUACUGGUAAACUAGAGUACAGCAGAGGAAAGCGGAAUUCCUGGUGUAGCGGUGAAAUGCGCAGAUAUCAGGAAGAACACCAGUGGCGAAAGCGGCUUUCUGGACUGUUACUGACGCUGAGGUGUGAAAGCUAGGGGAGCGAAC
rnacentral:rRNA from 1 species